UUGGAGGGCAAGUCUGGUGCCCGCAGCCGCGGUAAUUCCAGCUCCAAUAGCGUAUAUUAAAGUUGUUGCAGUUAAAAAGCUCGUAGUUGAAUUUCGGGAUCAGAGUGUCGGUCGUGCCUCGGUACGCACUGGUAUUAUUGGUUCCUACCUUCUGAAGAACCGCGAUGUCAUUAAUUUGGUGUCGUGGGGAAUCAGGACUGUUACUUUGAAAAAAUUAGAGUGUUUAAAGCAGGCUUACGCUUGAAUACAUUAGCAUGGAAUAAUGAAAUAGGACGUUUGAUUCUAUUUUGUUGGUUUCUAGGAUUGACGUAAUGAUUAAUAGGGAUAGUUGGGGGCAUUAGUAUUCAAUUGUCAGAGGUGAAAUUCUUGGAUUUAUUGAAGACUAACUACUGCGAAAGCAUUUGCCAAGGAUGUUUUCAUUAAUCAAGAACGAAAGUUAGGGGAUCGAAGACGAUCAGAUACCGUCGUAGUCUUAACCAUAAACUAUGCCGACUAGGGAUCGGAUGAUGUUAAUUUUUUAAUGACUCAUUCGGCGCCUUACGGGAAAC
rnacentral:rRNA from 1 species